CCCGCCCUGAGAGGCGGGAAGGAGGCUGCCCCCUCCUGCUCGGGCCCGCUUCCCGCAGGGCCGGGCCCGAUCCUCGGAGUGAAUUUAGUGCUGGUGAAUGGUGCUGAAUUAUGUGACCUUCAGCUGAGACAUGAAAGAUGCUGGAUUGGACUCUGGAAACUGAAGCUUCCUAUUUACUACAGAACAGCAACUUACGGCUGUGUGAAUGAAUGGGCUGAAUUUUGAGAAGCAUCAUGUUCCAUCUGGGGCUCUGUGGACAGCCUUGUAUUCCUAGAUCCAUCCCAGAAGCUCAAGCUCCAUCGGAGUGGUCUCAGAUUGAGGUUCACAAUUCACUUCCUGGUUUUGGCGUGAACUUUGCAGAGUCCUAGGAAUGGAAUCACUUACCUCCUUGGCCUAUUGCCCGCAGACCAACGGGCAGGCAGAACGAGCUAACCAGAUCCUCGAGCAAUACCUCCAUGGCUUUCUCACUUAUCGCCAAGCUGACCGGGUGAUCCUCCUACCAUAUGCAGAGUUUGCGUACAAUUCCUCCACCCAUGCAUCUGCGGACACAGCCCAUUCUAUGCAACCUACGGUUUCCACCCUCAACUUUAUUCGGCUGCACCUCCAGACUCCCAAGUCCUUGCCACAGCAGAUGUAGUUGCCCACUUCCACCAGGUCCACCAAGAGCUUACCGAACACACUGAAGCCACCAAACAUCAUAGUGACUGAAAACGCCAAGUCACACCAACCCUAUCUGUAAAAGAUAACGUCUGGUUAUCCUCAGAACACCUAAAAUCCACCCGUCCUUCAGCUAAAUUAGUACCUAGUCCUGUUUAAGAUGGCGGAACAAAUUAACCGUGUAGCAUUUAGGCUCCAGUUGCCAGACUCCUUGAAGGUCCACCUCACCUUCCGCAUGUCUGAAACCUUAGAUGGAGAAUCCAUUUCCCAGAUGCGCUGCUUCACCACAACUUUCCUUAGUUGUCCAGGACCAAAAGGAAUAUAAGGUCUUGGAAAUCCUAGACUCCGAGCAAGUUCAAGGCCAACUCUCUUAUCUGGUAGACUGUGAGGGCUAUGGACUGGACCAGGGCUGGCCUUACCAUGAGGCCAACUGAGGUGGCCGCCUCAGGUGCCAGACUGUGGGGGGCACCAC